CCAAGACCUACGAUCUAUAGCUGGUUUUAGAGGAUGAUCAGCAACACUGGGACUGAGACACGGCCCAGACUCCUACGGGAGGCAGCAGUGGGGAAUCUUAGACAAUGGGGGCAACCCUGAUCUAGCCAUGCCGCGUGAGUGAUGAAGGCCUUAGGGUCGUAAAGCUCUUUCGCCUGUGAUGAUAAUGACAGUAGCAGGUAAAGAAACCCCGGAUAACUCCGUGCCAGCAGACGAGGUAAUACGGAGGGGGUUAGCGUAGUACGGAAUUACUGGGCGUAAAGCGCGCGUAUGCGGAUUAGAAAGUAGGGGGUGAAAUCCCGGGGCUCAAACCCGGGAAAUGUCUCCAAAAAUGGUAGUCUAAAGUUCGAGAGAGGUGAGUGGAAUUCCGACGUGUAGCAGGUGACAUUCGUAGAAUAUACGGAGGAAACACCGUGGCGAAAGGCGGUCACUGGUCAAAAUUGCGCUGAGGUGCGAAGUGUUGGCGCCAACGGAUUAAAUACCUUGUUGUCCAACCGGGUAACGAUGAUGUGCGAUCUCGAGAUGAAACUAAUCGUGGAACACCUAGGGAUUA
rnacentral:rRNA from 1 species